rnacentral:lncRNA from 1 species
CGGGACUACUUUUUUUCUUGACAACUGAUUGCUUACUUCCGGUUUUCGCGAUUUUCGUCUGCUUUAUCGUCUGCAUUAUCUAAUAUAAAUCUUAUCAUGGACGAAGAAAUAAAGAAAGGAACCCGUGUACGGUUAUGUAACGGAGCAAAGGGCAUUAUAACUGGCACAACUUCCAAUUUCAAUUUCCCUCUGUAUGCGACAGUAAAACUACCGAUGGACGUCCGCAAAGCUUCAAAUACAAUACAGUUAUCUCUAUUCUAAUGCAAAACAAGUUCAUAAUUAAAUUUCAAUCACAAUUUCAGUGUAAAAUCUUCAAUAAAGAAAAUUCCGCGAAAAGAUGUUAUCUUCUUUGGUCCCUACACUACGUGACGUCAUAGGUAUGCUUCCGGUGUCAAACAUAAACACCGGGCGUUUUCUGGCUUCUGUGCCGCUUCAGAAUUAAUAAAAUUUGAUAAAAAGAAGAUUUUAAGGCGCAACAAGUGAGUUAUUUGUUAAUUAUUGUAGAAAUAACGUGUCAAUACACUUGUUACAAAUCAGAUAACAGGCCCC